rnacentral:rRNA from 1 species
CUCGUAGGCGGUUCGUCGCGUCCGGUGUGAAAGUCCAUCGCUUAACGGUGGAUCCGCGCCGGGUACGGGCGGGCUUGAGUGCGGUAGGGGAGACUGGAAUUCCCGGUGUAACGGUGGAAUGUGUAGAUAUCGGGAAGAACACCAAUGGCGAAGGCAGGUCUCUGGGCCGGUACUGACGCUGAGGUGCGAAAGCGUGGGGAGCAAACA